rnacentral:lncRNA from 1 species
CCGCAACUGAGGAGGCCGCAGCGGAGGCGAGGGCGACGGAGCAGCGCGCCGGGAGCUCCAGCACGCCCAACGCACCGCCGCAGCAGCGGGCCGACGACCUAGAGGAGAUCGUGACGACCACGGAGGACGACCAUCGUCGUCGCAACGCCAGUUUCUCGUAGCUGCGUACAUGCUCGCGUUCCUAAGUCCUAACGGUAGGCCGGGCGCGUCGGCCGUGUCUCGCUGUGACGCCCACGUCUUCAUCCGGCCGGCCGGCCCUUGUCGAAGCUACGCUGUUGCCGCCGCCGAGGCGCCGACGUCGUCAACGUGGCAUGCUAGCUCUGAAGCCUGCAGGUUAGAUAAACUACUUAGCAGACUAGCUAGGGCAUGUUGCUACUGGACCGUCGCGCGAUCUCAACACUUCGAAACUUUUGACAAUAUAAUAUCGCCUCGUAUUACCUUAGUUAACUCUUUAUAUGUACCGUACUUCUGAGCACUAUAUUUGCUCCUAUCAUGAUUUUUCUCUUCUAAAAUAAGCAUUUCUGAGCAGUAUAUCUGCUCC